GUUCACUUCCUGCAGAGCCUCGACAAAGCAGCGGAGAAAUGAAGAAGAAAUAAAUCAGCGAUUACAGACGGCCAUGUUUAACAAUUCCAUGGGUGCAAAUUUGGGGCAAGCAGCGUCAGGCACUAAAGACUCUCCGGUGGCCUCACAACCUACCACUGGGCCCCGGGGUCAAAUGCCUUCGACAACUGACGACUCUCUCCAUCAGGAGGAUCAACAACACAACAGAGCUCAUCCGCUGUCAAACAUCCAAGAGCAACAGCAUCAGGCGGGUUUCAGUUUACUCUCUGCUAUUGCUGAGCAACCAGGUCAACCACAUUUCAUCAGUGGACAUCUUUUUAAUCAGAUACCACAGAGGUCACAACUCAUCACAGGGCCCCGGGGUCAAAUGCCUUCGACAACUGACGACUCUCUCCAUCAGGAGGAUCAACAACACAACAGAGCUCAUCCGCUGUCAAACAUCCAAGAGCAACAGCAUCAGGCGGGUUUCAGUUUACUCUCUGCUAUUGCUGAGCAACCAGGUCAACCACAUUUCAUCAGUGGACAUCUUUUUAAUCAGAUACCACAGAGGUCACAACUCAUCACAGUCUAAUAGCUCCUGCUACUGUGAUUACCUCCCCUCCCGGGCAAUGGAUUAUUCUGGGAUUGCUCCUUUGGCUGCUGGGCAGUGACGACUGCUACUAUCACAGAGGAUGCAGCAUGAUGAUCAGGUACUCAUGCAGUGUGAUCACCUGCCAUGCAGAGGGCUUUCUCAGGCAAGAAAAAAGCCAGUGGAAUCUGCUUUUAUAUCAACCAAGGCUGGUGUGCAGAUGUCAGAGUGUUAAUGAAAACAUGCAGUCCUAACCUGGAAUCACUUCUUAUAAAAUGUAAACCUUUUUACUGCCCAUAAGAAUUCUCCUUUGUCAUUCUUGCAGAAGUCUGUAUUCCAUCCCAGUCAUCCAAGCAUGCAUGCUAUCACAGAUCAG
ensembl:lncRNA